AGCGAACGCUGGCGGCAGGCCUAACACAUGCAAGUCGAACGAACUCUUCGGAGUUAGUGGCGGACGGGUGAGUAACACGUGGGAACGUGCCUUUUGGUUCGGAAUAACUCAGGGAAACUUGUGCUAAUACCGAAUGUGCCCUUCGGGGGAAAGAUUUAUCGCCAUUAGAGCGGCCCGCGUCUGAUUAGCUAGUUGGUGAGGUAACGGCUCACCAAGGCGACGAUCAGUAGCUGGUCUGGGAGGAUGACCAGCCACACUGGGACUGAGACACGGCCCAGACUCGUACGGGAGGCAGCAGUGGGGAAUCUUGCGCAAUGGGCGAAAGUCUGACGCAGCCAUGCCGCGGGAAUGAUGAAGGUCUUAGGAUUGUAAAAUUCUUUCACCGGGGACGAUAAUGACGGUACCCGGAGAAGAAGCCCCGGCUAACUUCGUG
rnacentral:rRNA from 1 species